rnacentral:lncRNA from 1 species
AUGUGGAGGAGAAUGUUUCUUAUUAAAGUGUGACAAUGAUACAAGUGACUACAUCUAUUUAUAGGUUCAUGAGAUCAUAAUCUUAACAUUCUGCAUUAUUACAAUUAAGGAGAGAGUAAAAAAAUAGACAUCAAUGUGUAGGAGUUACAAAGAUGAAAUUCAACUAUAUUAAUUUAAAUAUUCACAACACUCCUCCUUUUCGAAUUUAGUUUUGCCUCAACUCAAAUUUUUCAGUCAAUCCAUUAUUUGCAUGCAUUUUGGCUCAUGAUCCUCAUAAAUAGCUAUGGUGUGCAACAUUGCGUUAUACGCAAUAAUUUCUUCAAUGUUGACUUCUUUGCUGAUGGAAUCCACCUCACGUUUCUAGGUCUUGGAGCUCAGAGUCCAAAGGCUCAAGAAAUCGGAAAGAAGAUCAAUGGGAAGCUUGAAGGAUUCGGAGAAGUUAGGAGCAGAAACGACACAUUCAAGAGUGGAAUCAAACCAGUUCGAGCCAAUGGCACGUUGGAAUGGAUCAAUGAUAACAAGUUCAUCCUUCAAGAAUUGGCGAUCCAUCAAGUGGCACUGAUGCCGCACCACGACACCGUGGCCAGCAUCGGCAUCGACAUCACAACCGCACCUCAAAUCAAGAUCCACAACAAUGAGCGUUCGGGCCAACUUUUCCCGCACUAUUUUCGGAGCAGAGGUGUAGAAUGAUGAGAAAAGACUUGUUCGAAGCCCAAAGUUGCUCGAAAUCGGGCCCACCAAUUUCGGAGGAUUACACCAAUUCACACCCUGACCCUAACGAGAAGACUUUACCCCCACCAUCUCUGGAACAAGAGCUUAAUGGGUCAAAAGAAGGCCAAAUAAGGUCUUUCAAGAAGAAAAAGAGACCAGAUGGAGCAGUAGAAAGGUAUAAAACACGUAUAGUAAUCAAAGGGUUCACACAAAGGCCAAGUUUGGAUUUCUUCGAUACUUAUUCACCUGUGACAAAGGUUUCUAGGUUUCUACGACUAGAGUCCUUUUUGCAAUUUCAUCCAUUUUCAAGAUGACCAUUCAUCAAAUGGAUAUAAAUAUAGACUUCUUAAAUGGUGAUUUAAAUGAUGAAAUCUUCAUGGUUCAACCUUCGGGAUGCUCUGAAUAGUCGAAUCCUCAUAAGGUUUGCAAACUCAAAAAAUCAUUGUAUGGCCUUAAACAAGCCCCGAAGUAGUGGUUUGAAAAGUUUACCAAAUUCAUAGGUGAGUUUCGAUGCAGAGCCAAUGGUUCAGUUACAUGUGUGUAUACUAAACCUUUUGGAUCAGUUUUUGUUAUCCUUUGCCUAUACGUUUAUGACCUACUUAUUCUAAGUUCAUAUAUCUAAAGGCCGAUAACAAAUUGGGGGCUCAAGCUCAAUGGAUAUCCCCCAGUUUUGGAAGGAUACUGUGAUGCAGACUAGGUCACAAGUAAAGAUGAUGUAGUUUAAGCAGUGGGUUUGUCUUUACACUUGGUGGAGCUGCAGUAUCAUGGAAUUCAAUAAAGCAGAGUUGCAUAGCGAGAUCAACGAUGGAGUCUACAAUCUGUGUAGCUAAGAGCUCAGUUUACAAUGGGAAGAAGAGACAUCUGAGGAUCCGCCAUGAAUCACUAAGAAACCUGUUAGAAACAGGAGUUAUCUCACUUGAGUACAUACGCCAUAGAAGAACUUGGCAAACUCUCUUAUCAAAGGGUUGUGCAAAAGAUUGGUAUACGAAGGUGCCAAGGAGAUACGACUAGUGUCCUGUUGAUGAAUUCGUGGUGGAAACUUGGUUGUUGUCUCAGUCAGGUCCAACGCAAACCAUGGAAAGAAUCAAAGAAAAGAAUUCCUUAGAAGUGAUCAGUCGACACUUCUGAAUUCUGGAAGCUUGUGGAGUUGAUGAAUUCAUCGUGGAAACAUGACUGUUAUCUCAGUCAGGUCCAACGCAAACCAUGGAAAGAAUCAAGAGGAAUAGAAUUCAUGAGCGGUAAUCAGUAGACACUUCUGAUUUUUGGAAGCUUGUGGAGUUGAUGAAUUCAUGGUGGAAACCUAACUGUUGUCUCAGUCAGGUCAAACGCAAACCAUGGAAAGAAUAAAGAGGAACUGAAUUCCUGAGAGGUAAUCAGUGGAUACCUCUGGAUUUUGGAAGCUUGUGGGGGUUGAGAUUCAUAAGUCAUAGUCCAUGUUGAAGGGUUGGUUAAGAGAACCUGAUGGCAUUUGAUAUCAUAGACCCUCUAGGGUGGUCUACUCGACUUGAUGAUAUCCGCUACUCACCGAGUUUGAGAGCAAAUGAAUCAAACCAAAUAGAUUCCUGAAUCUAUAAACAAAAAUUUGGAAUGAAGUCUGAGAGAUUUCUUGAGAAGAAUGAUCACAAACCACUAAGGCAAAGCAGUGAUUUUGGGAUUAAGCAUGUCAGUUCAAGCGUUCAGCUACUGACGGCUUCAUUUCUGGAAAAAUUGUUCUGCCAAACAAGCAAAGUUCAAUGUUUACAUUCUUGUUUGUAAUAGAGUUUUGGGAGAAAGGACCAAAUAAUAAGGUUUGCAUUUGUGGGGGAUUGUUGGUGAAAAUGCAAAGAAAGUAGCAAAACGCUGUGUUUCCAUUCUAAUGACAGAACAUUGUGUUUUCACUUAAGUGGAUUAGCAACGGCUAUAAAUCGGAGAACCGAGGAACUGGUUCAUUCCACCCACUAAACAAUCAUAUCAGGAUUGUUACCUGAUUCUCAGCAACUUCCCUGCAAAUACUCACUUAUUAUUGAGAUUGUGAUGAUCUUCAGGAGAAGGAAAUUUCCAGCUAUGAUUGUCAGCAACUUCCAGCUAUUUUUGAGAUUGUGAUCAUUAUCUCCUCUAUAUAAGAAGAAGCAUGAUUAUGAGCUAAAUACACAGAAAAUCAAUUCUUCCCUUACUCUCUUAGAUCUAGGUCUCUAUAGUCCUUUGAUCAUUCUUCAACACUCAAUUCUAAGCACCAUAGAUUGAGGGAUUGCUGUGAUUAUCUUCAGUUGCAGUGUGUUUUUGAAAUUUGGAAAAUAUUGCUUCGAAAAUAGUGUCAACAACACGAUUAUAGUUCUUUUGUUUUUUACUGCCUUCUUCGAUUUUUUAGUUAACUCUGUCUAAUUUGUUUUUGAGAUGGUUUCAGUGUUUGUAACUUGAUAGUGAUUAUAGCUAUAUAUAUUCCAACACCUAAUGGUCUUCAUCACAUAAUCACGAGAAGAAGUCGGUAAGGAUAUAAAUCGACAGCAAGAAGCAAGGGAUCACAAUCUUACCAUUGGUUGGUCGUUGAGACAACGAGAGAAAAAUGAGCGACGAACACCAACGGUCAUGAGAAGCCCACGAUUGAGAGGAGUAGAGACGAAGAUGAAGUUCGAGAUAAGAUAGUGAUGGUGGUG